rnacentral:rRNA from 1 species
UACAGAGGGGGCAAGCGUUAUUCGGAAUUAUUGGGCGUAAAGGGCGCGUAGGCGGCUUUUCAAGUGACGGGUGAAAUCCCUCGGCUUAACCGAGGAACUGCCUGUCAGACUGGAAGGCUUGAGACCGGGAGAGGUGAGUGGAAUUCCCAGUGUAGCGGCGAAAUGCGUAGAUAUUGGGAGGAACACCAGUGGCGAAGGCGGCUCACUGGACCGGAACUGACGCUGAGGCGCGAAAGCGUGGGGAGCAAACAGG